UCUUGGAAAGCAGGGACGGGCGAUUCUCUCUGUCAGCAUCAGCUCCAACCAGCGAGGACGGGGCGAGAAAGCGAAACGGGGCUUUCCUUGCUGUCUAUUUUUUCUUCGUCAGGCCAACGCCGCCUGCUCACAGGGGCGCAGGCGAGUUCCCGCCAAAUGGCGCGGGGGCGCAAGCAGUUGCGUGAGUUGCCGCCAAAUAGCUCUGGAUGCCAGCUCGUUCCGCGUCUCUUGGUAGACUAGUUGGUGCAUUUCUGCUAUCAUGGACUGCGCAUAUAAACGCAAACUACACAAAAGUGACAUGGACAAGAACAGCGCAAGCCCUUUCCAUGCAGUGGAGCCGCCGUAUCUCGCCGUUCAAGAUAUGCGUACUCGCUUAUUUUUUUCUGACAGGAAGAAAAAAAAAAGGCUUUACAUGAGAACUGAUCAAGCGUUCGAGAGUUGGGACAGGGAAAUGAAACACUGGAACGACACUGCUUAAAUUGAAGCACAGUGUGCGAAUGACCUGCUACGCUCGGAACUGUUAUCACCAUUCGGGAAGAAAUCGGAUGAAAAAACAUAACUGUAAAUACCUGUAUGAUAUACGUCUGGUGCAUUGCAGGUAAGAAUGGAUUGUGUGUGGCGCGCUUCACCGCAUGUGGACUAGAGUAGAUCUAGGAACAUCAGACAAGAAAACACGUAUGUGAAACCCUGCGGAUAGCCCAUAUGUGAACUUUUUUUCCAUAUACGGAGGAACGGACACCGGUCGUGCCGUGAGCACUAUUCUGCAGGGCAUACUUACAAAUGAAGCUGCACUGCAGUUCAGCUGGAAAGGGUCGCAGGGGACGAAGCACGCCUUCGUGAAGCUCAUGGCCAUCACGAAUAUAACAUCUGUGAGAAGCACCUUCCCUGACGCUUCACUGGCAUCAGUGGCUGGAGUCGCAAAACGCUGGUUAGUGGGAGCAGCUGACAGGGAUGGAGGCCGGAACGAAAGAAGGGGCCGUGACCCCGCUUUAAGCCCACUAUGAACUAGUGUUUGAAACUUGUGAACGUGUGGGUGUAUAUAUCCAAUUUAAGACAAAUACAAGAAAUAAAGACCUGUAUAAGAAUCUUU